CUCGUGAGUCUGCGAGCUUGCACUGGUUAACAAAUUUAAUUAUUGAGCAGGACUUCCCAUCAAAGCGCGGAACCAAAGCAUUGGCUAAAGUCAAUGGCAUAAAUAUAGUCUCCGUGGCAUCAGAAGGUAACUCGGUAAUUUCCAUGGCAUCUGAAUCCUCUGAAGAAGUUGACUCAUUACCGAGGAGAGAUAAAUUAGCUCUGCGAGUAGGAGUUCGCGUGGAUAUUGCGCUCAAUUCAUUCGACUGUAAAGAAGUUGAAGAAGACCCCGGUGCAUGUAACUCUAUCGCUAAAUCUCCCAUCUCGCACGCACUACUACCACUCAAGCCAGCCCUAUGGUUUUGUCUAGCUUUUACGAAUCCGGUCUUGUACGGCGGCAUUUUGAAAGAAUCUAAUCUAUGCUUACCACGUGUCCCAAUGUCAAUCCUCAGGUGAGCCCUCACCGGUCCUUUGCCUGGAAGAUGAUUCCUCUGAUUCACCGAAUGCGCUGGCUCCUUGGCUCCUUGGAAGAUUCCUCCUCUCGUCCGUCGAAAGGUUAGCGAGCACGGCCGCUGAAACCACCCGUCUCCGGCAUCCACCCUUGCCCUCAGGGAAACCGUGCAAAACCCAAGGGGGAGAGGUUGCACUUUCGCGUUGGUUACACUAUUAUAAACUGCUGUUUAUCAACGUCAGCUCACGAGUCUACGAAAAUCACAGUUCUACAAGUGCAGACUGUAUAUACCACACACACUCACAAGCCGGCAAAGUUUAUCACUCAAAACGUUUGUGAAAUUAAUGCGUAUAUUUUCAAAUAAUCCCACCGCUGUCACCAAUUUUGUCGCGUAUUUUAGCGGGGAAUUUGAGAUAAGAACGCGGGUUGGUGCCCGUGGAGCGCAGAACCGCUCUGCUUGUCGGAGUGUGGGAAUUUAAUAAAACUAGACAAGAGAACUCUUUCGUUAGGUAACUUCGUACUUUAUUCUACUGGUCCGAAGGCCGGUUAGAGACGCAAUGACAUAAGAAAAAUCGUAGCGUUUCGAAGUCACCUCCGAGGUCCUCGCCGAAGUCGUUGGCCAAAUCCUCCUAGUCCUCCCAUAGAUCCUCGUAGUCCAAUCAGGGUGAAGGACGCAUCAGAUCCAAGCGGUAGGCCGUCCUUCCGAUGCACGCACGCCCCCGCGAAUCGGCGUCUAACUUUCCCUCCGUCUUCGGGUGGUGGUGGGAACUCGGUGGAGUCGCGCUUUUCCGUUACACAGCGGGGUGCCCACGUGGGAAGAGAAAGUAGGCUCUGCUCCGAGGAUCGAGGGAACAAC